rnacentral:rRNA from 1 species
CUCAGAUUUGAAAUCGUGUUUCGGCACGAGUUGUAGAGUGUAGGCGGGAGUCUCUGUGGAGCGCGGUGUCCAAGUCCCUUGGAACAGGGUGCCUGAGAGGGUGAGAGCCCCGUAGGGUGCUGCGCGAAGCUUUUGAGGCCCUGCUGACGAGUCGAGUUGUUUGGGAAUGCAGCUCCAAGCGGGUGGUAAAUUCCAUCUAAGGCUAAAUAUUGGCGAGAGACCGAUAGCGAACAAGUACUGUGAAGGAAAGAUGAAAAGCACUUUGAAAAGAGAGUGAAACAGCACGUGAAAUUGUUGAAAGGGAAGGGUAUUGGGCUCGACAUGGGGGGUGCGCACCGCUGUCUCUUGUAGGCGGCGCUCUGGGCGCCCUCUGGGCCAGCAUCGGUUCCUGCUGCGGGAGAAGGGGCUCCGGAAAGUGGCUCUUCGGAGUGUUAUAGCCGGGGCCAGAUGCCGCGUGUGGGGACCGAGGACUGCGGCUUCUGUCUCGGAUGCUGGCAUAACGGCGCAAUACCGCCCGUCUUGA